CUACGGGGCGCACCAGUCGGGAAUAUUGCGCAAUGGAGGAAACUCUGACGCAGUGACGCCGCGUAUAGGAAGAAGGUUUUCGGAUUGUAAACUAUUGUCGUUAGGGAAGAUAAAAGACAGUACCUAAGGAGGAAGCUCCGGCUAACUACGUGCCAGCAGCCGCGGUAAUACGUAGGGAGCAAGCGUUAUCCGGAUUUAUUGGGUGUAAAGGGUGCGUAGACGGGAAGACAAGUUAGUUGUGAAAUCCCUCGGCUUAACUGAGGAACUGCAACUAAAACUAUUUUUCUUGAGUGUUGGAGAGGAAAGUGGAAUUCCUAGUGUAGCGGUGAAAUGCGUAGAUAUUAGGAGGAACACCGGUGGCGAAGGCGACUUUCUGGACAACAACUGACGUUGAGGCACGAAAGUGUGGGGAGCAAACAGGAUUAGAUACCCGGGUAGUC
rnacentral:rRNA from 1 species